AUUGAACGCUGGCGGCAGGCUUAACACAUGCAAGUCGAACGGUAACAUAAAGAAGCUUGCUUCUUUGAUGACGAGUGGCGGACGGGUGAGUAAUGCUUGGGAAUCUAGCUUAUGGAGGGGGAUAACUACGGGAAACUGUAGCUAAUACCGCGUAAUAUCGAAAGAUUAAAGUGUGGGACCUUCGGGCCACAUGCCAUAGGAUGAGCCCAAGUGGGAUUAGGUAGUUGGUGAGGUAAAGGCUCACCAAGCCGACGAUCUCUAGCUGGUCUGAGAGGAUGACCAGCCACACUGGGACUGAGACACGGCCCAGACUCCUACGGGAGGCAGCAGUGGGGAAUAUUGCGCAAUGGGGGCAACCCUGACGCAGCCAUGCCGCGUGAAUGAAGAAGGCCUUCGGGUUGUAAAGUUCUUUCGGUAGCGAGGAAGGCACUUAGUUUAAUAAACUAAGUGAUUGAC
rnacentral:rRNA from 1 species